AAAAACAUGGCUCUUUGUCCAUUUAAUAUAAAGAGUCGAACCUGCCCAGUGAUUCAAUUUAACGGCCGCGGUACUCUGACCGUGCAAAGGUAGCAUAAUCAUUUGCCUUAUAAUUGAAGGCUAGUAUGAAUGGUUUAACAAGAAUAGCACUGUCUCUAUAUAAAUUUUAUAGAAUUUGGUUUUUAGGUGAAGAAACCUAAAUAAAAUUGAAAGACAAGAAGACCCUAUCGAGCUUGAAAUAAUUUUUCUGAGACUUAUAUUAAAACUAAUUUCAUGAAAAAAUUUUGGUUGGGGCGACUAAGGAACAUUUAAAGCUUCCUAUAAAAUAUAUAAACCUAUAUGUUUUGAUCCAAAAAUUUUGAUUAACAGAAUUAGUUACCGUAGGGAUAACAGCAUAAUCUUUUUUAAGAGUUCUUAUCGAAAAAAAGGUUUGUGACCUCGAUGUUGGACUAGGAUACCCAGAAAGGUGCAGAAGCCUUCAAUGGUUGGUCUGUUCGACCACUAAUAUCCUACGUGAUCU
rnacentral:rRNA from 1 species